CAAGAGCAAUUCUACUGUGCGCCAGAAAUGGCUUCAUAUUAGCACCCAGUCACUCAUCAUUCACACAGGUGCCACACAUUCAUACAGUCCACAGUUAAUUCCUUCAAAAACGUGACGAUCAGCUUGGCUUAUGAAUCCCGGAAAUGCAGUCUGGAAUCACCAGGUGUGGCAGCUGAAGCCCAGAGGAGGAGAGAAAACUGAGGCCCAAAGAAAAGUAGCCAUCUGGCAGCCCCAGCACUCCUCACCGGCCAUGGUGAGAUGACAGCAGACGUGUUUCUUCUGUCCUCUCCACACCGUGCCCAGCCCAGCUCACUUCUCACAGUUCUUUUCCUA